rnacentral:rRNA from 1 species
GAUGAACGCUGGCGGCGUGCUUAAUACAUGCAAGUCGAACGAGGUGCUUUUGUAGCAAUACGGAAGUAUCCUAGUGGCGAACGGGUGAGUAACGCGUUGGUGACCUACCCCGAAGUGUGGGAUAACAGUCCGAAAGGAUUGCUAAUACCGCAUGUGGUCCCCGGGUUUAGAAACCGGUGACUAAAGCAGUAAUGCGCUUUGGGAGGGACCUGCGUCCCAUCAGCUAGUUGGUGAGGUAACGGCUCACCAAGGCGUCGACGGGUAAGGGACCUGAGAGGGUGGUCCCUCACAAUGGCACUGAAACACGGGCCAUACACCUACGGGUGGCAG